rnacentral:rRNA from 1 species
UACGAAGGGGGCUAGCGUUGCUCGGAAUCACUGGGCGUAAAGCGCACGUAGGCGGAUUCCUAAGUCGGUGGUGAAAUCCUGGAGCUCAACUCCAGAACUGCCUCCGAUACUGAGAGUCUUCGAGUCCGGGAGAGGUGAGUGGAACUGCGAGUGUAGAGGUGAAAUUCGUAGAUAUUCGCAAGAACACCAGUGGCGAAGGCGGCGCACUGGCCCGGUACUGACGCUGAGGUGCGAAAGCGUGGGGAGCAAACAGG